ACCAAAUCUUGUUCUAUUAUGCAACAAGAAAAAUAACCUGUCCUGUGUGUUACAUAAAAAGAGGGGAAAUAUAUGGCUAUCAUUAAGUUCAUUUAUACAAUGUUUCUAUUUAUUUUCCUAUUUGUAAUUCCAACCAAAGUUGACGGAAGAAUCACACAUGAGACCCUGAGAAACAUGCCACUCCCAGGUUCCAAACCAAUACCUAUUUUACGAGGUGAAUGUAUUAGUGAUGCCGAAUGUAAGCAUCCAGAGUGCGAUAAUUGCCGAGGAAUUUGUCUUAAUUCUAGGUGUGUAUGCAUGAUGCGUCUUGGUUGGACCUACACAACCCCACAAAACUGACUUGUGAAGUGAGGAUUGCCCCCACUUAUAAACAAAUUAUCAGACCAACUCCUAACCGAUGUGGGACUCUUAACAACAGCUUCAACAAAAUGAUCUAUGUCUAUUGUCAUUUAGUUAUUGCGGUGAUAUCAAAUAAAUGGAUUUUAUGUUUACUUUUCUUUUCACUUGUUGUUAUGGCUUUUGUACUCUAAGAAAAUAAUCUAUUAUCUAUCUACUAUAUGUAUUAAAGUAAGGUUUCUCUAGUAACAACAAUUUACAAAUGACACUCUA